CCGCGGGACACCCCUCCCCACCGAGGGGCGCCUAUCUGGAAGGAUAGACCAU
rfam:Alphaproteobacteria bacterium 13_2_20CM_2_64_7 13_2_20cm_2_scaffold_7115, whole genome shotgun sequence.